AUGGAGCGAGCGUGGGACAAGGGCGUGGGACAAGGUGACGGUGACCGGCACGGCGAGCCAGAAGAAGGUGUUGCGCGCGGCGCGGCGCACGAGGAAGCUUGCCCACACCCCUCCUCCGCUCGCUCUCGUCUCCGUCAGGCUCUGAUGUUCACUCCAUUGGAGCUGAGUCUCCUUGCCGGCGACCUUGCCAUCACCAGCCUAUCUGCAGGGAUGGACAUAUGGAUUGAAUGGUACCCUCCUGAAAUCUACACAGGUGUCAGAUUUAAGAAAGAAGAAAUAGGGCCAAGAAUAUUAGACCGGAGAACGAAGAGAUGA
rnacentral:rRNA from 1 species